rnacentral:rRNA from 1 species
AUCGAUGAAGAACGCAGCGAAAUGCGAUAAGUAAUGUGAAUUGCAGAAUUCAGUGAAUCAUCGAAUCUUUGAACGCACAUUGCGCCCGCCAGUAUUCUGGCGGGCAUGCCUGUUCGAGCGUCAUUUCAACCCUCAGGCCCCCAGUGCCUGGCGUUGGGGAUCGGCGUGGGCGGCGACGGCUCUCCGGAGCCCGAGCCAAUGCCUGCCGGCCCCGAAAUUCAGUGGCGGUCUCGCUGUAGUCCCCCUCUGCGUAGUAGCACAACUCGCAUUGGAGCUCGGCGGUGGCCAUGCCGUAAAACACCCCACUUCUGAAAGUUGACCUCGGAUCAGGUAGGAAUACCCGCUGAACUUAAGCAUAUCAAUAAGCGGAGGAAAAGAAACCAACAGGGAUUGCCUCAGUAACGGCGAGUGAAGCGGCAACAGCUCAAAUUUGAAAUCUGGCCCUAGGCCCGAGUUGUAAUUUGCAGAGGAUGCUUUUGGCGAGGUGCCUUCCGAGUUCCCUGGAACGGGACGCCAUAGAGGGUGAGAGCCCCGUCUGGUCGGACACCGAGCCUCUGUAAAGCUCCUUCGACGAGUCGAGUAGUUUGGGAAUGCUGCUCUAAAUGGGAGGUAUAUGUCUUCUAAAGCUAAAUACCGGCCAGAGACCGAUAGCGCACAAGUAGAGUGAUCGAAAGAUGAAAAGCACUUUGAAAAGAGAGUUAAAUAGCACGUGAAAUUGUUGAAAGGGAAGCGUUUAUGACCAGACUUGGCCCGGUCGAUCAUCCAGCGUUCUCGCUGGUGCACUCUGCCGGUCCAGGCCAGCAUCAGUUCGUCGCGGGGGAUAAAGGUUUCGGGAAUGUGGCUCCUCCGGGAGUGUUAUAGCCCGUUGCGUAAUACCCUGUGGUGGACUGAGGUCCGCGCUUCUGCAAGGAUGCUGGCGUAAUGGUCAUCAACGACCCGUCUUGAAACACGG